AUUGAACGCUGGCGGCAGGCCUAACACAUGCAAGUCGAGCGGAUGAGAGGAGCUUGCUCCUUGAUUCAGCGGCGGACGGGUGAGUAAUGCCUAGGAAUCUGCCUGGUAGUGGGGGACAACGUUUCGAAAGGAACGCUAAUACCGCAUACGUCCUACGAGAGAAAGCAGGGGACCUUCGGGCCUUGCGCUAUCAGAUGAGCCUAGGUCGGAUUAGCUAGUAGGUGGGGUAAUGGCCCACCUAGGCGACGAUCCGUAACUGGUCUGAGAGGAUGAUCAGUCACACUGGAACUGAGACACGGUCCAGACUCCUACGGGAGGCAGCAGUGGGGAAUAUUGGACAAUGGGCGAAAGCCUGAUCCAGCCAUGCCGCGUGUGUGAAGAAGGUCUUCGGAUUGUAAAGCACUUUAAGUUGGGAGGAAGGGCAGUUAGUUAAUACCUGACUGUUUUGACGUUACCGACAGAAUAAGCACCGGCUAACUUCGUGCCAGCAGCCGCGGUAAUAC
rnacentral:rRNA from 1 species